GGUAGAAAAGUGACAUUUAUCUAGUAGAAAUUGACGGAGAACCGCAUAUUGCUACAUAUUUUCUCGAAUUAUUGUCAUUUUGACACCUCUCAUGCUGUUAUUAGACCCAUAUUAUACAAAACGCGAAUCUGGGGAUGAAUCUGGGGAUGGAAAAUACGCAUGCCUAGGCCCGCUAAAAACAUCAAAAAUAAAUUGGCAAGAAAAAAAUUUUAUCGAGUGGAAAUAGAAAGGAAACUCUGGAAAUAACAUAUUUUCUUGCUAAUCAUUGUUAUUUCGAUACAUUUCGAGCAGUACAAGCAAGUUUUCGAAUCUGGGGAUGAAUCUGGGGAUGAAUCUGGGGAUGAAUCUGGGGAUGAAUCUGGUGCUGAAUGGUACGCGGUUUUUCAGGGAUAUGUUCCAGCUGAUAAACUUCAAAAAGUAGAAGAAAAAUACCAUAAAUGGCCACAGAACUGCUAACAAAUGGCAAUCCAGAGCCAAUGUCUAUAGAAGGAAGAUUAUCAAGUGAGGCAAUACCACUGAACAGAAACUUACAGCAAGAAAAUGUUCCGUCAUCAUUAGGUGGGCCUUACGUGGACUCACCAUUAAACACAGCAGAAUCGAUACCAAAGCAAGAUGCCAAUACUGAUGUGAAUGAAACAGAAAUAAUAGAUGCACAAAUAAUUGCAGAUUUGUUCCAAAGGAUACAGGCUGGUGAUAACUAUGCCAAGUUCGAGCUUGGACAAUUUUAUUUUGAGAGAAGAGAAUACACAGAUGCAAAAAAAUUGUUCGACGAAAUCAGCAAUGAAAACAUGCAAGCCAUAUACCAGCUUGCAGUGAUGUAUUACGAUGGCUUAGGUGUUGAAACAAACUACAAAAGAGCUGUUGAGAUGAUGAAGACAGUCAUUGGUACCCAAGACCCUCAAUGGGAAUUCCUUGUUCCUUAUGCACAGUAUCAAUUAGGAAGAGCAUUUUUUGAAGGAUUCGGAGUUGAGCAAUCUGACAGUGAGGCAGAAAUGUUGUGGAUCAAGGCUGCUAGAGAUGGUGAUCCUGAUGGCUCUGUAAAAGCUCAAACAACUUUAGGAAUGUUUUACUCCAGACCUGGGGAAGAUACAUAUGAUAUACAAAAGGCUCAUUUUUGGCACCAAGAGGCAACAGGAAAUGGCUCAUUAGAAUCACAAGCGGCGUUAGGUUUACUGUAUCAACAUGGCCUCGGAGUGAUUAAGGACAACAAAGCGUCAUAUAAGUGCCUCAAAAGUGCCGCUGAAAGAGGAAACAUAUAUGCGAUUGGAAACAUGUCGUAUUAUUAUUACAAGCUGAAGCUAUUCAACAAUGCUGUUGAUUUUGCCCAAAGAGCCAUUUCCAUCACUGAUGCAGAGAAGGUCGCGGAGGUAACUGGAUGCUUGGUGCAUUACAUCAGAAAAGGCAUUGCAAUGAGCUGUUUUGUGUACGGAAGAUGCCUCGCAAAGGGCUACGGGAUUUACCGUGAUCAGCAAACUGCAUUGAAGUACUAUGCUAAGGCUGCGGAAUUCGACCUUGACAUUGCCAGUCAUCUACAAGAGCUGAUGAUACAGGGGUACAUCUAGUUGUGUUCAAAUCUAGUUCUCUACCUUGGACCAGUCUCAUCGUAUGGAAAGAUCACAUUGUAAAUAAGGUUACUUUGGCCUACAUCACACCCCGGGACACCUUCACUGUUGGCCUGAAACCAGCAGCCAACAAAAAUUGGAAACUAUUAAUUAUUUUCAUUUGUAUACUAAAUCAAACCCUUAGUUAAGUCAUUAUCUUCUCAAGAACUUACGAAUCUCAAUAAAUAUCCCUGUCUCAAAAAUAUCCGCUGCCAGUUUUGAUUGCAUUGUAUUUGAAAUUAAAAUUUGUCACUUUAUUAAACUAUAACAUUAAAUUUAAGCUUUUAAACAUGCAUUGAAUUUAUUUCCGUAGAAACUAAGCAUCUGAAUUUAAAUAUUAACUGCUGUAGUAAUUAAUUGAUACUACUCAUAAUUCACAAGGCUACUUUGUACAUGAGAUCAUACUUAAUGCAAAAUGUAACAAAAGUAAAAACAAUGAGAAUAAAACUAAUCAAAAUUACUUUCAAGCUACCAAAUCUUGUCAAGAUAUUGACUCAGUAUAAUUUAACUUCAAUGGAUCUGCUUGAGGGUAACGUAGGCGAAUUGUGAACAAUCAACCACACGAGAUUUCACCCCAAGAGUUUAAUGGCAUCAGUUGAUGUGUUAUAAUAUCAAAUGUUAACAUGACUGCUUCGGGGCCUAGCAUACAUAAAAUGAAGCAGUUUUAGUUAAUUCAUGGAUUCAGCGAUUUUUUUCAAAUUCCUUUACUAUAAUUUACUCAACGAUACGUUAUAAUAUGUUAUUAUGAUAUUUCUCUUACGUUUUUUAUCAAUUUAAUUCAACUUAAUGCCGUGCAAAUUUUGCCAAAGAUGUGACUCUAUGCAGAGAAUCAGCUACAUUUAAAUAUCACAUAAUCUUAAGAAAUUUUUCCUCUUGUUGUUUCUGUGGCUAUUAUAUAUGAUUUUGUCUUGUCUUUUUAUUUCAACCUUGCUUUCGCAGAUUGUAGCAGUCUCUUAUUACAUUUAUAGCCGUUUUCAGAGGAGUUAGUCGUUUAGGGACCUCCUCUCGAAUAUUUCCUUGAAUAAAUCACUUGAAAUUGAGAAUUAUCCCUUCAUUUUCCGUAUUUGCUCAUAACUAUGUAUUUGUAUUGGUGUGCGUAUUAACCUCUCAUCUUCUCUAGUACAAUGGUGUUGUUAAACGCUGAAUAGGGACGGUGUAAUUUCUCUCGAGCCUUUUCAUGAUCAUAAAAUAUGAUACACCUCUGAAUAGUAUCCCUCAGCGCUCCUGUCCCUGCUAGAAGCAUAAAUUCAGUGAAAUAUCAACGAGGUCAAAUAUACUAA